GCGCCUUAGAACACAGUGUGCCAGGCCUUGUAGGAGGUGGAUGGGGCGGCCUCUCCACAAGGAGAGCUCUGGUUCUCACACACAAGGUGACUGUUUCUGUUGGCAGCUGCUCCCAGGAGCCUCCAUGAACUGGAUCUCAGGACCGGGGGCAGAAACUCAUCCUUCUACUCAGGAAUGUGAAGACUUCCUUCAGGAGUUCGGACGGCUUCUAAGGUGAGGCUACAAUGAGAAGACAGCCGUCUACAAAUCAGGAAGCGGGUCCUCACCAGAUGCCAGAUCUGCCGGCACCCUGACUUUGGACUUCCCAGCCUCCAGAACUGUGAGAAAUAAAUGCUGUUGAAGCCACCAAGGCUGUGGUAAUUUCUUAUAGUAUCCUGAACUGACUAAGAUACUAAGACAGUAAGAGUCUAAAAAAAUAAGAAGACAACAAUACUGGCCCAGUUGCUUAGAGGUGAUAAAUUUAUGCAGUAUUUAAGUAUGUAAGAAACAGCACUAGAUAAUAUCACCUACUUAGAAUAUGCAAAGCUAGAAUGUCUCUGCCAAAAGGCAGGCAAUGACGAGGUUUUAAUGAAAAGAACAAAUGGGAUAAGAUGACAACAAGG
rnacentral:lncRNA from 1 species